AGGUUACCAGCCAGCCACCUUCUGUUUACUAGUCUAUUUCAAGUUAAUUAUUUCAGUAAAAUAACAGUAUCUCCUAAUUGCGACUUCACUUGUGAGGAAUGCAAAAUUUAUGAAAUGCAAGUGUGUUUUUCACAUACCCUUGUCUUGGCUGAAGUCAUUUCAGUUUGGAAAGUGAGUGUUUUGCUUUUGUUGUAAAUUUAUCUGAAACCAAUUGGGUUGUCUUCCUGUUUGAUAACAUAGUCUCCUGCGUUUAUUAGGAAUGUUACAAGACAAACGAAUGGAGAUAGAUAAACAUAGCCUAAAUAUUGGUGAUUACAAUCGAACGGUCGGGAAAGGCCCUGGUUCUCGGCCUCAGAUUUCCAAAGAGUCUUCCAUGGAGCGCAAUCCUUAUUUUGAUAAGAAUGGCAAUCCCAGUAUGUUUGGUGUUGGAAACACAGCAGCACAACCCCGGGGCAUGCAGCAGCCUCCAGCACAACCUCUUAGUUCAUCUCAGCCUAAUCUCCGUGCUCAAGUGCCUCCUCCAUUACUCUCCCCUCAGGUAAAUAAGCUUUCCUUACAUUCUCCUGUUUACCUGCAAAAAGGAUCUUGCAUGAUUUUGUAUUUGAAUAAAAUGGCUAACUAAGCAUUAUCAUAUUUAUUGGCAUCUUUGAGAGUCAGCUAGUUCUGAAUUAACUAUUACAAAAGGUUGUAGGAAGGAUAAGUCAGGGAUAAUUUAAAUCCAAAAUUUACCAUUUUCUUCUAUAAAACAUUCUUGAGAGUAGGACAAAAGCAAAGUAAAAGUGGCUAGUUUAAGAUGCAUCUCUGUCAUCUUUUACUUAACCCAUGAAAAAGUGUAAGUGAAUGGUCAGUUAGUAACUCAGAGACAACGACUAUAACCCCCAAUGAAUAGUCCACAAAUUUAACUGCUCUAUUGACAACUUAAAACACACAGUACAUGUAGUUAGUGUGAGUUAUUUUAUCAAGAUCAUUAACUUACCAUUGUGAUCCUAAGGUUCCAGUUUCAUUGCUGAAGUAUGCACCAAACAACGGUGGCCUGAAUCCACUCUUUGGCCCUCAACAGGUAGCCAUGCUGAACCAGCUAUCCCAGCUAAACCAGCUUUCUCAGAUCUCCCAGUUACAGCGAUUGUUAGCGCAGCAGCAAAGGGCGCAGAGUCAGAGAAGCGUGCCUUCUGGGAACCGGCCACAGCAAGACCAGCAGGGUCGACCUCUUAGCGUGCAGCAGCAAAUGAUGCAACAAUCUCGUCAACUUGAUCCAAACCUGUUGGUGAAGCAGCAGACUCCACCAUCUCAGCAGCAGCCACUCCAUCAGCCAGCCAUGAAGUCUUUCCUCGACAAUGUCAUGCCCCACACUACACCUGAGCUGCAAAAAGGGCCAUCACCAAUAAAUGCUUUCAGCAACUUCCCUAUAGGCUUGAACUCAAACUUGAAUGUAAAUAUGGAUAUGAACAGUAUUAAAGAGCCACAGUCAAGACUAAGGAAGUGGACGACAGUGGACAGCAUUUCUGUGAACACAUCUUUGGAUCAAAACUCCAGCAAACAUGGUGCUAUUUCAAGUGGUUUCAGGCUGGAAGAGUCUCCAUUUGUUCCCUAUGACUUUAUGAACAGCAGUACUUCACCAGCCAGUCCUCCAGGUUCAAUAGGAGAUGGCUGGCCACGUGCCAAAUCGCCUAAUGGCUCUAGCAGUGUUAAUUGGCCACCAGGUAAAAUUUUUUCUAACACUUUCUUUCAUGAGACUGUGUUUCCAUUAAGGUUUUGUUACAUCUGGACUUACUACUGAUGUAGCCCAGAUCGGCGUGCUUAGACUGACCUGUGCAGAUGAGAAGGAAUGCAGAAGUGAUAGAGGAAAAGUUAAGUAUGAAGUCUUGGGCAAGGGAGUGUGUCAGCCUGUUACCUAUGCCUUUAUGCUCAAGCAGCAGAGGUAGAAGUGAGUCCCAUUGACCAGCAUGAAGAAUUAUAUUAAAAACUUCAGGCUGGGCGCAGUGGCACAUGCCAGUAAUCCCAGCACUUUGGGAGGCCGAGGUGGGCGGAUCACGAGGUCAGGAGAUCGAGACCAUGCUGGCUAACAUGGUGAAACCCCGUCCCUACUAAAACUACAAAAAAUUAGCCAGGCAUGGUGGCGGGCGCCUGUAGUCCCAGCUACAGGAGGCUGAGGCAGGAGAAUGGCGUGAACCCGGGAGGCGGAGCUUGCAGUGAGCCGAAAUUGCGCCACUGCACUCCGGCCUGGGCAACAGAGCAAGACAACAAACAACAAUAAAAACUUUAAUUCACUGUUUCUCGUAAGUUGUGUCAGGGAGUAACUUGCAGUAUUUUCAUUCAUACAUAGGAGUUACCAGAAGUGCUUUUAUGGCCUGCUUUCUCCUACCUGAGUUGCAGUAGCUUUGUGAUUUGUCUUAAAGCUUAAAGCACUUUUAAAUGUUACUGUUUAAAAAUAAACAUGAAUCUGGCGGGUACGGUGGCUCACGCCUGUAAUCCCAGCACUUUGGGAGGCUGAGGUGGGCAGGUAACGAGUUCCCAGGAGAUCAAGACCAUCCUGGCUAACACGGUGAAACCCCAUCUCUACUAAAAAUACAAAAAGAAAUUAGCCAGGUGUGGCGGUGUGUGCCCGUAGUCCCAGCUACUCGGGAGGCUGAGGCAGGAGAGUGGCGUGAACACAGGAGGCGGAGCUCGCAAUGAGCCAAGAUCAUGCCACUGCACUCCAGCCUGGGCAACAGAGCGAGACUCUGUCUCAAAAAAAAAAA
rnacentral:sRNA from 1 species